CACACAUCUGUUCCAGGAAGGAAAAUCCACUUACGUUCGAUCAUACAAUGUAGGUAGUUAGCCGAUGUACCUCGGAAGAUGUUUCCCGCAGUCGGAGACGAAACGUCAGGGGAGAGUUUUAUACAUCCACUACGGCCUAUCAGCCCGGAAGUUGAGGAAUUUUAGGAGGAUUUGGAAGAACAGAGGGUUGCAGGCAUGGAUGCAAACGAAGGUACAGCAAACACUUGCGAAGAAGUUGGUAGUCAAGAUGUCGAUCAUCAAACAACCCAAGGCAACAAGCAACCACCCACACCAAACAAAUGCACGAAGGUAUUUGCUUCACCUAGAAAAAAAUCAGAGAAAAAAGGCCGAAGAUCCUUGUAUAAGAGAGGCAUAUAAUGCACCACAAAUUGCUUUAUCCAAAACUACAGACAAGUUUGACGGCUAAGGAGAGUACAAAGUGAACGUUCUGUGGUCCAUGGAUAAAAGAGCACAUGCUUUUGUUAAAAAAGAAUUUUCUGACACAAUUUUGAGAGCAGAAAGCAGCUGUUUCGAACAUUCUAGACCUAGUUCAACCAACAGUGACCACAGCUGCUAGUCACAUUUAGCGAUUUCUUCAACUCAACAUGUUCAUGCCCAUGAACAGAUGCAAAGCAACUUCCAACAGACAUCUACCUCUACUUCGACUUCUGACAACACCGAACAAGGCUCUCCACAUUUUCUGGACCUACCUGAUUUAUAAUAAUUAAAAUCAAUCAUCUCUGCAGUUAACUGUUUCUCAUUCUUUAAAUCUAAAUGUUUUAUUUCUUUUGCUUAUUAACUGAUGAAUAAAAGUGCAUUAAUAUCAAAA